rnacentral:rRNA from 1 species
UGGGUAUUGCGCUCUGGAUGGGCUCAUGUCCUAUCAGCUUGUUGGUGAGGUAACGGCUCACCAAGGCUUCGACGGGUAGCUGGUCUGAGAGGACGAUCAGCCACACUGGCACUGCGACACGGGCCAGACUCCUACGGGAGGCAGCAGUAAGGAAUAUUGCGCAAUGGACGAAAGUCUGACGCAGCGACGCCGCGUGGGGGAUGAAGGUCUUCGGAUUGUAAACCCCUUUCGGGAGGGAAGAUGGAGUGGGUAACCACUUGGACGGUACCUCCAGAAGCAGCCACGGCUAACUUCGUG